GAAAGGUUUCGGCCGGACAGAGAUGGGCAUGCGGCGCAUUAGGCAGUUGGCGGGGUAACGGCCCACCAAACCGACGAUGCGUAGGGGUUCUGAGAGGAAGGUCCCCCACACUGGUACUGAGACACGGACCAGACUCCUACGGGAGGCAGCAGUGAGGAAUAUUGGUCAAUGGCCGGAAGGCUAAACCAGCCAAGCCGCGUGAAGGACGAAGGUGCUAAGCAUUGUAAACUUCUUUUGUCAAGGGACAAAAUCAGGCUCGAGAGCCUGACCGAGGGUACUUGAAGAAAAAGCAUCGGCUAACUCCGUGCCAGCAGCCGCGGUAAUACGGAGGAUGCGAGCGUUAUCCGGAUUUAUUGGGUUUAAAGGGUGCGUAGGCGGGCUGUUAAGUCAGCGGUAAAAGCCCGGGGCUCAACCCCGGCGAGCCGUUGAAACUGGCGGUCUUGAGAGGCCGAGAGGUAUGCGGAAUGCGCAGUGUAGCGGUGAAAUGCUUAGAUAUUGCGCAGAACUCCGAUUGCGAAGGCAGCAUACCGGCGGCGAUCUGACGCUGAGGCACGAAAGCGUGGGUAUCGAACAGGAUUAGAUACCCUGGUAGUCCACGCAGUAAACGAUGAAUACUGGCUGUGUGGCCCGACAGAGG
rnacentral:rRNA from 1 species